UGUACAGUCGUGUCGUUUUCGGACUAUCACCGACUUCUCGUUCAUCGCCUCCCGAUCGAAGCAAGUGUUGCCGGAGGCUGGCUUGGUUGAUGACAGCUAGCUUCCUCUUUGGAUUGAGUACCCAUUUGGUCAUUUGAACACUGUAACACAUUACAACUUACAGCAGCCCAUCUUACAACCUUUCGUUUUCCCCGUAGAGAGGUCGGCAUUUCUGUGUAGGAACUAGGAAGAAGUGAGAAGUGCUUCCCCUGUUUUGUUUGAACCUGGACUGAAACUUGGAAGGUGUCUUCCCUUCCAUUAGCGGCGGCCGGCGGUAUCAUUUACACUACAAUCGGCGAGCCGGAGACCGGCGAGGCGACGGUGUCAUCUCCUUCGAGCUCCGAGUACCCAGAGUAGGCGACGUCCCCAUUCUCUAUAGGCAGCAACCAUUGACAUCUCCAUCAGUGAAUGGAUACUCAAGCAUGGUUGUUUAAGAGCAGCUGUUUUGGUGCAUACACAACUGGGCAUAUUCGAACCAUUGGAGCUUCUAAAAAUUUAAAAUUUUGGGGUCUACCUUUGCCAGCAGGAACAAAGAAUAACAGCAUUAGGUGCUCAAUGAAGUCUUACAAAUUAUCAGAGCUAAGUCAAACUGAGGUUGAUAGCCUCAAAGCUCGUCCUCGUAUUGAUUUUUCUUCCAUAUUUAGAGUGGUGCAGCCAAUUGUUGAUGAUGUACGUAGUAGGGGUGAUGGUGCAGUGAUAGAUUAUACUAAAAUGUUUGACAAAGUUGUGCUGGAUAAAAUAGUUGAAUUUGUUGCUGAUCUUCCAGAUCCAGAGAUUGAUUUGUCUGUUAGAGAAGCUUUUGAUGUUGCAUAUGAGAAUAUAUAUGCCUUUCAUGUUGCUCAAAAAUCUGUGGAGAAAAAAGUUGAGAACAUGAAGGGUGUGAGGUGCAAACGGGUAGCUAGGUCCAUUGCAUCUGUAGGUCUUUAUGUUCCUGGUGGAACUGCAGUUUUACCUUCAACAGCUUUGAUGCUUUCGGUGCCUGCACAGAUUGCUGGAUGCAAAACUGUUGUUCUUGCAACUCCCCCAAGUCAUGAUGGCACCAUUUGCAAGGAGGUACUUUAUUGUGCCAAGAAAGCUGGUGUCACUCAUAUCCUUAAAGCUGGUGGUGCCCAGGCUAUUUCAGCCAUGGCUUGGGGAACUGCAUCUUGCCCCAAGGUAGAGAAGAUUUUUGGACCUGGAAAUCAAUAUGUCACAGCUGCAAAAAUGCUUCUCCAGAACAGUGAAGCCAUGGUCUCAAUUGACAUGCCUGCUGGUCCUUCAGAAGUUCUUGUCAUUGCAGACAAACAUGCCAACCCAGUUCAUAUAGCAGCAGACUUACUAUCUCAGGCAGAGCAUGGCCCUGAUAGCCAGGUUGUACUGGUCAUUGUUGGUGAUGAUGUAGAUGCGAGGGCCAUUGAGAAGGAAAUCAGCAAGCAAUGCCAGAGCCUUCCAAGGGGAGAGUUUGCCUCAAAAGCACUAGGCCACAGUUUCACUGUGUUUGCUCGUGAUAUGGUCGAGGCAAUCUCCUUUUCAAACUUAUAUGCACCUGAGCAUUUGAUUGUCAAUGUUAAAGACGCAGAGCAGUGGGAGGGGCUCAUUGAAAAUGCAGGGUGGAAUAACAAUGAAGAGAGGCAGAAUGAUCUUCAUUAUCUUCCUAUUCUGAUUCUUGCUCCUUCGCUUUCAGGCUCCAUCUCUUUGUCAUCUGUUUCUUCCUCAUCUACACCUCUUGAUGAUAUGCCAGUGCAAGAAGUAUAGGUUCUAGGGUAAGAGUUGCGGAUAUUUCUAAGACAUAAGAAGAGGGUAACUCUAGAGGCUAAUCCUCCACCACAAUCAGAUUCUAUGAAUUCAAUUGAAAGAAUUCUAUGUUAGUUGAUGGGUACUCUUGGCAAGGGUCUCUUCGCAUGCUCCACAUGGUCAUCUGAAGGUAGAAGCCUAUAUUGAUACUAAUUGGGAUGAAUUAGUUGAUGAAAGGUCCAUUUUUUCUUGGAGAAAUAAGAAACAAUCUGUUGCUAGAUCAAGUGCUAAAGCUGAAUACAGAGUAAUCAAGUUGCUUUGAAGUUAUUUGUGAUAAUCAAGUUGCUAUCAAUAUUUGCCUCCCUUUUGUGAAGUCCUGUGAUCAAUUGGCUGUUUGCCUAACUAAAGGAUUAUCUCAUUCUAGGUUGGAAGAAAACUUUGUGAAAGCUAGGCAUGUUCAAUAUUAUACCUAGCUUGAGGGGGAGUGUUGAGAGUGGCAUUCAAGUAAGGGUAAUCCAGGCAUUUUGUGUUUAAUUGUAAUGGAGGGUAUAUGUGCAAUUUCUCUAAUCUGGUAUAUAUUUCAAUGAAUAUGGCUAUGCCCAUGAUUCUUUUGAUCUUCUCCUAUACUUUUCUCUUGUUCUUCUUCCUUCUCUUCUCUCUCUCUCUUCUUUCUUUUUUUCUCCUUUUUUUCACUGUUGCACAAGUGAAAGUAUUCUUCACUCGAAAUUGAGGAGAGCAGUAGGAAAGAGCUUACCAAUAUAAAGAUAACAGAACAGAUAAUGAAGUUGGAGUCUUGAAGCUGCUGCGAGUCUUCGAAAAAAGGACAGUAAGAACUAAAAUAGGGUUGAAUGAUAGGGUCAGAUGAGCUGCUGUUCAAGUUAUGCCAUCGGUCCAAGAACAGAACCAAUGAAGACUAUGAAUAGAGCUAAAAGAAAAAAUAA